ACCCUGACGCAGCGACGCCGCGUGAGUGAAGAAGGCCUUCGGGUCGUAAAGCUCUGUCAAGUGGGAAUAAAGUCCUGCGGUGAAUACCCGAGGGAUUUGAAGGUACCACUAAGGGAAGCACCGGCUAACUCCGUGCCACCAGCCGCGGUAAUACGGAGGGUGCAAGCGUUAUUCGGAUUUAUUGGGCGUAAAGAGCGUGUAGGCGGUUGGGAUAGUCAGACGUGAAAGCCUUCUGCUCAACAGAAGAAGUACGUCUGAAACUGCCCAACUUGAGUACGAGAGAGGAAAGUGGAAUUCCCAGUGUAGAGGUGAAAUUCGUAGAUAUUGGGAGGAACACCUGUGGCGAAGGCGACUUUCUGGAUCGAUACUGACGCUGAGACGCGAAAGCGUGGGUAGCAAACAGGAUUAGAUACCCUGGUAGUCCACGCUGUAAACGAUGGGAACUAGGUGUAGCGGGUAUUGAUCCCUGCUGUGCCGAAGCUAACGCAUUAAGUUCCCCGCCUGGGGAGUACGGUCGCAAGGCUAAAACUCUCAGGAAUUUACGGGG
rnacentral:rRNA from 1 species